CAACGAGGAAGAGUUUGAUCCUGGCUCAGGAUGAACGCUAGCGGCAGGCCUAACACAUGCAAGUCGAGGGGCAUCAUGGCGUAGCAAUACGCUGAUGGCGACCGGCGCACGGGUGCGUAACGCGUAUGGAACCUACCCACCGCAGGGGGAUAACCCGCCGAAAGGCGGACUAAUACCCCAUGGUUCCCCGACCCUGCCUGGGGUUGGGGGUAAAGCCUACGGGCGGCGGUGGAUGGCCCUGCGUGCCAUUAGCUGGCUGGUGGGGUAACGGCCCACCAGGGCGACGAUGGCUAGGGGGUCUGAGAGGACGAUCCCCCACACUGGUACUGAGACACGGACCAGACUCCUACGGGAGGC
rnacentral:rRNA from 1 species